rnacentral:rRNA from 1 species
UGCAAGUCGAACGGUGAAGCAGAGCUUGCUCUGUGGAUCAGUGGCGAACGGGUGAGUAACACGUGAGCAAUCUGCCCCUGACUCUGGGAUAAGCGCUGGAAACGGCGUCUAAUACCGGAUACGAGCUGCGAAGGCAUCUUCAGCAGUUGGAAAGAAUUUCGGUCAGGGAUGAGCUCGCGGCCUAUCAGCUUGUUGGUGAGGUAAUGGCUCACCAAGGCGUCGACGGGUAGCCGGCCUGAGAGGGUGACCGGCCACACUGGGACUGAGACACGGCCCAGACUCCUACGGGAGGCAGCAGUGGGGAAUAUUGCACAAUGGGCGCAAGCCUGAUGCAGCAACGCCGCGUGAGGGAUGACGGCCUUCGGGUUGUAAACCUCUUUUAGCAAGGAAGAAGCGAAAGUGACGGUACUUGCAGAAAAAGCGCCGGCUAACUACGUGCCAGCAGCCGCGGUAAUACGUAGGGCGCAAGCGUUAUCCGGAAUUAUUGGGCGUAAAGAGCUCGUAGGCGGUUUGUCGCGUCUGCUGUGAAAACUGGAGGCUCAACCUCCAGCCUGCAGUGGGUACGGGCAGACUAGAGUGCGGUAGGGGAGAUUGGAAUUCCUGGUGUAGCGGUGGAAUGCGCAGAUAUCAGGAGGAACACCGAUGGCGAAGGCAGAUCUCUGGGCCGUAACUGACGCUGAGGAGCGAAAGGGUGGGGAGCAAACAGGCUUAGAUACCCUGGUAGUCCACCCCGUAAACGUUGGGAACUAGUUGUGGGGUCCAUUCCACGGAUUCCGUGACG